rnacentral:rRNA from 1 species
CGCGUAGGUGGUAGUGCAAGUCUGGGGUGGAAUCUUAGGGCUUAACCCUAAAACUGCCUUGGAAACUGCAUUACUUGAGUCAGUGAGGGGAGGGUAGAAUUCCUGGUGUAGCGGUGAAAUGCGUAGAUAUCAGGAGGAAGGCCUGUGGCGAAGGCGGCCCUCUGGCGCUGAACUGACACUGAGGCGCGAAAGCGUGGGUGGCAAACAGGAUUAGAUACCCUGGUAGUCCACGCCCUAAACGGUGGGUACUAGGUGUAGGGCUCGUAAGGGUUCUGUGCCGAAGGGAAACCAUUAAGUACCCCGCCUGGGGAGUACGGCCGCAAGGUUGAA